rnacentral:rRNA from 1 species
UGGGGAAUUUUGGACAAUGGGCGCAAGCCUGAUCCAGCAAUGCCGCGUGCAGGAAGAAGGCCUUCGGGUUGUAAACUGCUUUUGUCAGGGAAGAAAUCCUCUGGGUUAAUACCUCGGGGGGAUGACGGUACCUGAAGAAUAAGCACCGGCUAACUACGUGCCAGCAGCCGCGGUAAUACGUAGGGUGCGAGCGUUAAUCGGAAUUACUGGGCGUAAAGCGUGCGCAGGCGGUUGUGCAAGACAGGUGUGAAAUCCCCGGGCUUAACCUGGGAACUGCACUUGUGACUGCACGGCUAGAGUACGGUAGAGGGGGAUGGAAUUCCGCGUGUAGCAGUGAAAUGCGUAGAUAUGCGGAGGAACACCGAUGGCGAAGGCAAUCCCCUGGACCUGUACUGACGCUCAUGCACGAAAGCGUGGGGAGCAAACAGGAUUAGAUACCCUGGUAGUCCACGCCCUAAACGAUGUCAACUGGUUGUUGGACGGCUUGCUGUUCAGUAACGAAGCUAACGCGUGAAGUUGACCGCCUGGGGAGUACGGCCGCAAGGUUG